GAGCGAUGAUGAUCCAAGUUUUUUUUUCUUCUGGCAUCUCUAAUGCUAGAGGCUCUGCCUCGAUGAAUAUAACCCUGACUAUGUCUGAGC
rnacentral:snoRNA from 1 species